rnacentral:lncRNA from 1 species
GUGGGACUCAGUCCUUUUGUCCUCAGCAUCAGGGUCCUCCAUGGCUGCAGCAGGGAGGAGAAAGCCUGGAAGCCGCCCCUAUGGACCCACUCUGCUCCUCCAGCUCCUGCAUUACAUUUGCACAGCUGUCUGCCCGUGCUGGAGCAGGAACGUGCCCCUCCGAAGCAGCGCGGAGAUUAAUGGGCUGGAAGGAACAGGGCAGCUCUGCAUGCCGUCCUCGUCCCAGCACUGUGGCCCCACGCCGGCUCCACUCCAGCAGCUCCUCUGAAACAUCCCAGUUCGAAGUGAUUUUACAACAAGCCUUCGUUUCCAGGGAGUCUGACCUCCUCAUUAAUAAAU